GAAGGCAGAGGCGGGUGGGGACUGCCUUGGUUGGAUCAAUGAUGAGAACUCAUAUGGUCUUGAAGACAGCUGAUGACCUAAAAAUUAUGCUCAAUAGGAUUACACUGAGGCCCAGUGGAGGGCACCACACAGAGGCGGGAUCCUGGGGACCCCUGUGACCCUGGCAUAAUGCUGGAUCCUGGGGCUCGAGGUGACUGAUCCCUUGAGGCUCCCCAGUGGGGCUCUCCCCAGUCUGGGCCUGUAAGCGCUUAAGACAUGCUCCCGUCCUGGGGCGUUGUGUGCCCAUUACUAGUGCUUCCCGGGAUUCAUCCCUGGGAAAACAACUAAGCUCCUUCAGUGUCCUGGUGUCUUUUAGUGAGACAUUGUCUUGGUGAUCAGGGUCUUGCCAUUGAGCCCACCAUGGGAGGAGAAUGGAUGCCUGUAUCCCGUGCACCCACUGAGAUCCCACCUGGCGCACGGAGGGGAGUUUGGCCCAUCUUCAGGAACAUGCCUCAAAGCUAGGGGCCCCCAUGGCCAUGCAGCACAUCAUAAAACAGCCUUGAUCCUGCGCCCCGACUGAGAUCCCACCUGGUGCAUGGAGGGGAGUUUGGCCCAUCAUUGGGAACAAACCUCAAGCCAGGGCCCCCAUGUCCACCCUGCACAUCACAAAACCUCUCUGAUCCCACCCCACGACCGAGUUCUCACCUGGUGCAUGGAGGGGAGUGUGGCCAAUCUUCAGAAACAGGCCCCAAGCCAAGGGCCCCUAUGGCCACCCUGCGUAUCACAAACCCUCUCUGUGGGACAUCGCCUUGGUGACCAGGGUCUCGCCAUUGAGCUCACAAUGGGAGGAGAGUGGAUGUCUGUGUCCUGCACCCUGACUGAGCUCUCACCUGGCACACGAGGGGAGUUUGGCCCAUCUUUGGGAACAGGCCUCAAGCCAGGGGCCCUCAUGUCCACCCAGUGCAUCACAAACCCUCUCUGAUCCCCUGCCCAAAUGACGAUCCCACCUGGCCCACAUAAUCAAUUGGCCCAGCUUCUGGAAUAUGCCCACACUAAGGUGCCACCCCAGCCAUCUCGCAUUCAAGACACCCUCUUUGUGGGACGUCAUCUUGGCCAGGGUUUCACCAUUUCCCCCACCAUGCUAGGUGAAAGAUGCCACUGCUUGUAGUGGAGGCCCUAGAGGACAUGGUGUGGAUUUUGAGGCCUGUCUCAUGGCAAUGCCGGCCUGUGUGUUGAACUGGGGCCUGUUAUGGCCACAGACGUCCGUCCUUUCUGUGAACAUCAGCCCUGUGCAAUUGGCUGUCAGUAAAGCAACAGAUCAUCUUGGCAUCUGGAAAGUAUGCAAAUGACAAUGGAUGGCCCUCUUCCUCGCUGGUCCAUGGAACAGUUUUACUGGUGUGAGAGAAUGCCCAACUGGAGGCUCAAACCACUGCAGUAUUUGGAGGUCAAAAGCUAGAACAGGUUACUAUUUUUUUUUCAAGUGAACAAGUUACUUUCAAGAAAGAAAGUUUUGCUGAGAUAGGAUUGGAAUCAGGUUUUCCACUUCAAGGAAUAGAGAGAGAAAGAGAGA